rnacentral:rRNA from 1 species
UACGAAGGGGGGCUAGCGUUGCUCGGAAUUACUGGGCGUAAAGGGCGCGUAGGCGGAUGAUUAAGUCGAGGGUGAAAGCCCGGGGCUCAACCUCGGAACUGCCUUUGAUACUGGUCAUCUUGAGUACGGGAGAGGUGUGUGGAACUCCGAGUGUAGAGGUGAAAUUCGUAGAUAUUCGGAAGAACACCAGUGGCGAAGGCGACACACUGGCCCGUUACUGACGCUGAGGCGCGAAAGCGUGGGGAGCAAACAGG